GACGAACGCUGGCGGCGUGCUUAACACAUGCAAGUCGAACGGAAAGGCCCUGCUUUUGUGGGGUGCUCGAGUGGCGAACGGGUGAGUAACACGUGAGUAACCUGCCCUUGACUUUGGGAUAACUUCAGGAAACUGGGGCUAAUACCGGAUAGGAGCUCCUGCUGCAUGGUGGGGGUUGGAAAGUUUCGGCGGUUGGGGAUGGACUUGCGGCUUAUCAGCUUGUUGGUGGGGUAGUGGCUUACCAAGGCUUUGACGGGUAGCCGGCCUGAGAGGGUGACCGGCCACAUUGGGACUGAGAUACGGCCCAGACUCCUACGGGAGGCAGCAGUGGGGAAUAUUGCACAAUGGGCGGAAGCCUGGUGCAGCAACGCCGCGUGCGGGAUGACGGCCUUCGGGUUGUAAACCGCUUUCGCCUGUGACGAAGCGUGAGUGACGGUAAUGGGUAAAGAAGCACCGGCUAACUACGUG
rnacentral:rRNA from 1 species